rnacentral:rRNA from 1 species
GACGAACGCUGGCGGCGUGCCUAAUACAUGCAAGUUGAGCGCUGAAGGUUGGUACUUGUACCAACUGGAUGAGCAGCGAACGGGUGAGUAACGCGUGGGGAAUCUGCCUUUGGGCGGGGGACAACAUUUGGAAACGAAUGCUAAUACCGCAUAAAAACUUUAAACACAAGUUUUAAGUUUGAAAGAUGCAAUUGCAUCACUCAAAGAUGAUCCCGCGUUGUAUUAGCUAGUUGGUGAGGUAAAGGCUCACCAAGGCGAUGAUACAUAGCCGACCUGAGAGGGUGAUCGGCCACAUUGGGACUGAGACACGGCCCAAACUCCUACGGGAGGCAGCAGUAGGGAAUCUUCGGCAAUGGACGAAAGUCUGACCGAGCAACGCCGCGUGAGUGAAGAAGGUUUUCGGAUCGUAAAACUCGGUUGGUAGAGAAGAACGUUGGUGAGAGUGGAAAGCUCAUCAAGUGACGGUAACUACCCAGAAAGGGACGGCUAACUACGUG